GACGAACGCUGGCGGCGUGCUUAACACAUGCAAGUCGAACGGAAAGGCCCUGCUUUUGUGGGGUGCUCGAGUGGCGAACGGGUGAGUAACACGUGAGUAACCUGCCCUUGACUUUGGGAUAACUUCAGGAAACUGGGGCUAAUACCGGAUAGGAGCUCCUGCUGCAUGGUGGGGGUUGGAAAGUUUCGGCGGUUGGGGAUGGACUCGCGGCUUAUCAGCUUGUUGGUGGGGUAGUGGCUUACCAAGGCUUUGACGGGUAGCCGGCCUGAGAGGGUGACCGGCCACAUUGGGACUGAGAUACGGCCCAGACUCCUACGGGAGGCAGCAGUGGCGAAUAUUGCACAAUGGGCGGAAGCCUGAUGCAGCAACGCCGCGUGCGGGAUGACGGCCUUCGGGUUGUAACCCGCUUUCGCCUGUGACGAAGCGUGAGUGACGGUAAUGGGUAAAGAAGCACCGGCUAACUACGUG
rnacentral:rRNA from 1 species